GAUGAACGCUGGCGGCGUGCCUAAUACAUGCAAGUCGAGCGAACGGACGAGAAGCUUGCUUCUCUGAUGUUAGCGGCGGACGGGUGAGUAACACGUGGAUAACCUACCUAUAAGACUGGGAUAACUUCGGGAAACCGGAGCUAAUACCGGAUAAUAUUUUGAACCGCAUGGUUCAAAAGUGAAAGACGGUCUUGCUGUCACUUAUAGAUGGAUCCGCGCUGCAUUAGCUAGUUGGUAAGGUAACGGCUUACCAAGGCAACGAUGCAUAGCCGACCUAAGAGGGUGAUCGGCCACACUGGAACUGAGACACGGUCCAGACUCCUACGGGAGGCAGCAGUAGGGAAUCUUCCGCAAAGGGCGAAAGCCUGACGGAGCAACGCCGCGUGAGUGAUGAAGGUCUUCGGAUCGUAAAACUCUGUUAUUAGGGAAGAACAUAUGUGUAAGUAACUGUGCACAUCUUGACGGUACCUAAUCAGAAAGCCACGGCUAACUACGUG
rnacentral:rRNA from 1 species